rnacentral:lncRNA from 1 species
CCUGUAGACCAGUAAAUAUCUUAAUUUGGCUCCUUGAACAUUUGAGGACAAAGAAGUAUCAAGCUGUAAAAAUUACUCACCUUCUGAUUACUGAGGCAUAAAAACUAGGAGAAAAAGACUAGGGAGAAUACUUGGAAAGAAAAUGCGUCUAAAGUAAGAAUGUAAAAUAAGUCAAUUGUACCUGAUUCCAAUUUUUGGCUUGGGCUCAACCCGAAGUGGAGGGGGAACAGAUGCAGGUAAAUAAUAAGUAAGAAUGUAAAAUAAGUCAAUUGUACCUGAUUCCAAUUUUUGGCUUGGGCUCAACCCGAAGUGGAGGGGGAACAGAUGCAGGUAAAUAAUAAGUAAGAAUGUAAAAUAAGUCAAUUGUACCUGAUUCCAAUUUUUGGCUUGGGCUCAACCCGAAGUGGAGGGGGAACAGAUGCAGGUAAAUAAUAAGUAAGAAUGUAAAAUAAGUCAAUUGUACCUGAUUCCAAUUUUUGGCUUGGGCUCAACCCGAAGUGGAGGGGGAACAGAUGCAGGCAAAUAAUAAGCAAAAACUUAGUUUAAAUUAGUCACGCAAUACAUAGAAGAUUUUAAUGGUUAUAGUACUUGAUAACUGUACAUAUCUGUGUUUUUUGGGGAUAAGUUUUAUGUGUCCUAACUUUCGCAAACCACAACACAUCCUCUAUGCUAGCAAAGCUAAAAUCCGACGGGUUAAAUCAUUAAAUCAAUCUUUUUAAUAACUCUAUGUGUAAAUGAGAUUCAACAGACAUCAAUUUAAAAUUCUUGUCACCAUUCAAUAUUAUUAUGCAGUGGCAUCAAAGAAGAAACAAACAAAAAGGAUAUCUUGAAUGCUUGAAAUGCACGUUU